rnacentral:lncRNA from 1 species
AGUUAAUGAAAGAAAAAAAAAGAAAAUUUCUUGCAUAAAAGUGAUUUAAUUACCCUAACAAAAACGGAUAUAGCCCAGUAAACAAAAUCGGAUAUGGAACGCCUUCCAAUGGCCAUUUUGUAAUGCGGCAGUAUUUACUUUUGCUUUUAUCAAUAGCCCUAGUCAUCUAUGAUAGAUCUCAUCCCAUAGAAUGCAACUGAUCGCAUUGUAGUACGGUCACUGUAGGUUUAUACAUGCCACUUUCAAUUGUCUGAUUAAUAGUUUUGCUCCCUAUCCUCUGCCUUCUUUAUAUCCGAAAAAUCGAGUUUGUUGAAUAACCCACGCAUUAUACCAAUGCGGAACUUACCUCACUUUCCCAGUUUUGAUAUAUGUCAUCUUCUUUCAAACUACCAAUAGAUUGUAUGUCGCAUUCAUAUAGGUCUAAGCUACCUAUAGCUUUCUCAUAUCUACUUUACUGAUUCCAUGAAGAAAGAUCUAUCUAUAUUUUCUCUAAACAAAAUCUGUUUUCAUCUAAUUACAUAAUUCUUUCAUUAUUCAAGCUAUGCUGUUGGAUAUCCUUUACCCAAACAAGUCUUUAACCCAUUCUCUGACUUCUUCCACGAAUAAGCCUAUAAACAAAUCCAAAAUUAUACUGCUCAAACAAAAUUCUCAGUCGUUUAAAGAUGUAACCGGGUGACUUGAAGUUGUCCUUGAAGAGUAUAUAAUUACGAAGAAAAUAAUAUAGAAAAGUUAUAGUAUGAUUCUUUAUUAAUCCAGGUAAGAUUGUAAAUUAUCAAAUAUAUUAUCAGGUAAUUUAGAUUAUAUAAGUUAUAUAAAUUGCUUAAAAAUCUAUAAAAUAAAAAGAAUUUUAAUAAUUUCCUUGUGUGUUUGUGUUAUAAUUUGUACCAGCGAACAGAUUCUAUUAUAUGGCGCCUGUAUACUAAGUUUACUCAACACGGAGCUUAUGGUAGGCUACUAUAGAUAAAUUGUUUAAUUGUAAAGUUUGAAGUUAAGAUGUAAGAUAUGGUAUGAUAAUCGUGUCAGAAGUCGCUAAUCCUUAUAUUUCAUUUCCAUAAAGAACAGAAAUUUGAUGCGGGUGACCCCGUGUUGCUUGACUAUACAAUUUUCAUCCAGAAUGUGAGAAAUCAGGGAACUUCAAAGGUUGACUUUCAGUCAAGGCAAUUGAACCAUGAUCGGAUUACCGUUUUGUAAAAGGAGGGAUUUAUGGUAAUGUCAAAAACAAGCGGGAGUUUUGUCCUUGUUUAAGCUCUCCAUUAUCUUCUUUAUGAUUAAAUUUAUUUCCUCCUAUACAUUUGUUAUAUGUUAACUGAAUAAGUUGUAAACUGAUUUAUGAUUUUAAUAUAUUGUCAGAUUGAAUAAUCAUAUUAAUAGUGUUGAAAAAAAAGAAAUAAAUUACAGUAUGGAUAUGUUAAAACGAAUAAGAGCGCGUAAAUUGUUAACAUCUUUAAAUACGUGGCUUUAACUGUUGUGGUUUUUUUUGGUUGGAGCAUACUUUAAUUAAAAUUAGACAUAUCAUUAAUGUCAUUAUAAACCAAUGAGUAAAUAUUGGUUAAAUGUUCAUAAUAAAUUCAAAUAGAUCCUAAUUAAACAACUUGUUAACGCUAAAAACAAACAAUUGGCAAUUAAAUUUUUUCGUUUUUUGAUAAUAUAAGAGAAGCACUUGAAAGUGACAUUAUAAUAGAAAAAGACAAUUAUAAAACAUAUUUAUAAUUAAAACAAUUCAAUGUAAAGUUUCAUACUAAUUUAAUUAAUUUUCACGAAACGAAUUUGUGAAAACUAAUUAAAAUAAUCUGCAACUUGGCGACAACUAAUUAUUUUUCUAGAAAGAGAAUGUAUUACUAAUUCCAAUUUUAGCCGGCUUUACAACUAAAAAGUUAAAAUUUAUUAAUAAAAAUAAUUACAAUUAAUCAGUUAUAUAUAAA